GGCAUUGAGUGUCAGCGUCAAGCCCUGGCUCGCUGACCGGCAACCCUCCCGCGCGGUGGGGUGCUCCAGGUGAAAGCCCGGCGGGAUCACCGACGAUUCCCGCAAGCGCGAGGC
rfam:Streptomyces mangrovisoli strain MTSC 149 58, whole genome shotgun sequence.